rnacentral:rRNA from 1 species
CCUACGGGAGGCAGCAGUAAGGAAUAUUGGGCAAUGGGCGAAAGCCUGACCCAGCAACGCCGCGUGAGGGACGAGGGCCUUCGGGUUGUAAACCUCUUUUCUGGGGGACGAGACCAGGACGGUACCUCAGGAAUAAGUCUCGGCUAACUACGUGCCAGCAGCCGCGGUAAGACGUAGGAGGCGAGCGUUAUCCGGAUUUACUGGGCGUAAAGCGCACGCAGGCGGCUUCGUUAGUCGGAUGUGAAAGCUCCUGGCUUAACUGGGAGAGGCCAUUCGAUACUGCCUGUCUGGAGGGUCGGAGAGGGACGUGAAAUUCCCGGUGUAGCGGUAAAAUGCGUAGAGAUCGGGAGGAACACCAGUGGCGAAGGCGGCGCCCUGGCCGACACCUGACGCUGAAGCGCGAAAGCGUGGGGAGCGAACGGGAUUAGAUCCCCGGGUAGU